AAAAAUGUUUGAAAACCAAAAAAUCUAAACCAAUGGUUGAGAAAAAUAGAUUUAAGAGAAAACGACGUCGUUUUGCGGGGAGUAGAAAAUUUAAAAUUUAAUAGUUAAAAUUCGAAAAUACUAAUAGCAGCUAACGAACCUGUAUUAUUACUACUUGUACUUCAUUAAAUCAAGAAGAUUGCGAUAGAUAGUUAUUUUUUGAGAAAUUUGACGUUUUUUAUACGACGUUGGUCUGCACGUUUGCUUAUAUAUUUCGAUUUCAGCCGUUCGUCCCAUUGCGAACAUUAAAGGCAAAUCGGCAAACCAAUGCCCAAGGAUAAUAAACCUGGAGCACAAGGGCGUCAAAAAAGUUUACUGUUCACAAACAACCAAAACUGUAAUUCGCCCAGCAGUUCUGUGAAUAGUGGUCGCUAUCGCAAAUUUUUUAUACGUGGACGCACAACAGUGGGUGUUCAGGGUUCAACAGCAGGUAACAGUGCUGCACGUGAACAACGCUGGGCAUUAAAAACAACUCCACAAUAUGCUGGUGCAAGUGCAAGCUUGCUACAUGUCGGAACUGUUUGCAGCGUGUCCGUGGGCUUAAAUUCUAAACAUCAAAAACUUACGGAAGUUCAACGAAAGUUCCCUCUUUGGUUGCCGGAAUACAAAACGAACGCUUUUAAUGCUUCUAUGGAUGAAAAAUAUGUUGAAUCGAUUUGGGCAAGCUUAAAAAACGCUAUACAGGAAAUACAAAAGAAAAAUAACUCUGGCUUAUCCUUCGAGCAAUUAUAUCGCAAUGCAUAUAAUAUGGUGCUACAUAAGCAUGGCAAUCGCUUGUAUUAUGGCUUGCGUGAAGUCGUUUCUGAGCACUUAGAACAGAAAGUGCGGCAAGAUGUGCUUGAAAGUUUACAUAAUAACUUUCUUCCUAAGUUAAAUCAAGCUUGGAGUGAUCAUCAAACUUCGAUGGUAAUGAUACGUGAUAUAUUGAUGUACAUGGAUCGUGUUUAUGUACAACAACGCGAAGUAGAUAAUGUUUACAAUUUGGGCUUAAUAUUGUUCCGAGAUCAAAUUGUCCGUUAUUCAGAAAUUCAAAAAGCUCUACGAGAAACAUUACUCGGAAUGGUUAUGGACGAGCGAAGCGGAGAAGCCAUCAAUCACUUAGCGAUUAAAAAUGCGUGUCAAAUGCUUAUGUCGCUGGGAAUUAAUACACGGUCCGUAUAUGAAGAUGAUUUUGAGAAACCAUUUCUUGCGCAAUCUGCAUCUUUUUAUAAGUUUGAAUCACAUAAAUUUCUUAACGAGAACAAUGCGGGUGUUUAUAUAAAAAAAGUCGAGGCUCGCAUACAAGAAGAAUCUGCACGGGCGGCCCUGUAUUUAGAUAAAGACACUGAACCGCGUAUCGUUAAAGUUGUCGAGGAUGAACUUAUUAAGAAGCAUAUGCGUACUAUUGUUGAAAUGGAAAAUUCUGGUGUUGUUUAUAUGAUUAAAAAUUCAAAAACAGAGGAUCUUGCUUGUACCUAUAAACUAUUUUCACGACUAAAAGAGGAAGGUCUCAAAGUAAUUGCUGAUACAAUGUCAUCGUAUUUGCGUGAACAGGGCAGAAUAUUAGUGAAGGAGGAAGAAAAUGGGAAUACAAAUCCAAUAACUUUUGUACAGAAUUUGCUCGAUUUAAAAGAUCGUUUCGAUCAAUUUUUACACCAUUCAUUCAAUAAUGACCGAUUAUUUAAAAAUGUAAUAUCAGCAGAUUUUGAGCAUUUUUUAAAUUUAAAUCAAAAAUCUCCCGAAUACCUUUCUUUGUUUAUUGAUGAUAAACUUAAAAAAGGAGGCAAAGGUAUGAGUGAACAAGAAAUAGAAACAAUUUUAGAUAAAACCAUGGUACUUUUCCGAUUUCUCCUGGAGAAGGAUGUUUUUGAACGUUAUUACAAAACUCAUUUAGCGAAACGCCUGUUGCUAAAUAAAUCAGUUUCCGAUGAUUUUGAGAAAAAUAUGAUAUCAAAAUUAAAGACUGAGUGUGGAUGUCAAUUUACCUCAAAACUUGAAGGAAUGUUUAAAGAUAUGUCUGUGUCAAACACCAUUAUGGAAGAGUUUAAAAACUAUGUAAAUGUACACAACUUAUCAUUAUCGGGUGUUGAAUUGACAGUGAGGAUCCUAACGACAGGAUUUUGGCCCACUCAAACUGCAACACCUAACUGCAAUAUACCCUCUGCACCACGUGAGGCAUUUGAAAUAUUUAAAAAGUUUUAUUUGGAUAAACAUUCGGGUAGACAGUUAACGUUACAACCACAAAUGGGUACGGCUUAUAUUAAUGCAGUAUUCUAUGGCCGCAAAGUGGAUAGCGAUAAAGAUAAAGACGGUCCUAGUUCAAGCAUGUCAUCCAGCUCAAAUGGUUGUACGGUGCCAACAACAACCCGUAAACAUAUACUACAGGUGUCCACGUAUCAGAUGUGCGUAUUAAUGCUGUUUAAUAACCGUGAUAUGUUAACUUAUGAGGAUAUACAACAGGAAACUGAUAUCCCUGAACGGGAGUUAGUACGUGCACUUCAGUCGCUGUCAAUGGGGAAACCUGCACAACGAUUACUUGUGCGAAACUCAAAAACGAAGACAAAAGACAUCGAUCCAACAGAUGAAUUUUAUGUAAAUGAUGCAUUUGUUUCUAAACUCCACAGUUCGAAAAAAAGGACGAUAGUGCCUAAGUGGAAAGAAAUCGGUGUCGACGAGAGACAAAUUAUUAUUAAAUUCUGGCAGGAAGGAAAAUCAAAUCGGCAAAUUGGCAAAUAAAUAUGUAAACAUGCCGAAUGAGUUUUGGAACAAUGCGCUUUUCUCCGAUGUGUAUUUGGGAUAAAAGGACGUAAAUAAGUGUGGCAUAAGCCAAGUGAAGCAUACAACAAAUGCAAUCUUUAUCCAACUUUGAAACAUUGAGGUGGUGGUAUGAUGCUAUGAGGAUGCAUGUAUGGUUAUUAAAAGAAUUAAAAUUCAAACUGUUGCCGCAAAGGGAGAGACUGAACCGGAACGCAAGGAAACGCGGGGUAAAGUAGAUGAAGAUCGC
rnacentral:misc_RNA from 1 species